AAUUAACAUCAACAUUAAUCGUGAUCAAGACAAUAAAAUAUACAAGCAAAAAUAUAUAAUACAAACAAUAUGUAGUAUAUGUGUAUCUUAAAUACUUCUACAGAUAUACGGCAUUUACAGACAAAAAUUAAUGUGAAGUUCGGCGAUUCGACAUAACAGUGCUCGAUCCGCUCGAUAGCUGCCGUCGGCCGAAUGCAGUAAGGUAAGUAUGUACUAUAAAUUUUGCUUAUCUCCCGACUGUCGACCGGUUCUUUUAUUAGCUGGUUAUUGGCUAGAGUAGCCCUACCCGUCUGGGCUAUUACAAUGACUCAAUCACAUUUGAGCAUGGUUCCUUAACAAUGUUUUCGGUAUGUAUGUAGGCCGUUUCUGAUUUUCUUGUCUGGACACGGUAGCUAUUUUAAAUUUUGGUAGCGUACAUUCAGCAGCGGACGUUGUCCAAGUUGAAUCAACUGUGGCACAUGGGCUAUGCUUGAGUACUUGUACUACUGUAUUCUUUCGCCUUCGUACUGUUUCGAUUAGGAAACACAGCAGCAGCAAGCAAGAUACAGGUCUGUAGUGCUCCAUGAUCUCCAUCGUAAGCUAUAACAUCAGUAAAAUUAACUUAUUGUUAGAAGCAUUUAAGCACAGUUUUUCGGUAGGAAAAUUAUUAGCCAUUACAAUAUUAGGAUUUGUGACGCUGAUUUAAACGGAAUCAAACGCAUAAAAUGACACCAAAAGUCCAAAGGUUCCUGAAUACGUUCCCAAACGCCAUUGGUACCAUUACGUCACCGUCUAGCACGAUCCGUUUUUUUGAACUGUAUAACUCGGCAUGACAUUCUGUUUUAUAGUGAGGCUAGAAAUAAGAUGCUUGAUGGAUGCGAUGCAGAUAGAUUCUGAAGGGCUCGAGAAAAUUCAAGGGCAAGAACCUUGUCCUCGCCGUCAAGGAAAAUUUAACGUUAACGUGGAUGUGCAUACGGCCGUACAACGUUGAUAUGGAAAGCGGGGAGUCGGAUAUAUGAUAUAGCAACAGCCCUCUUCCCCAAUUCCAAAGGUUCCAGUUCUUUCCAUGAGAUUUUAAUAAAAACUUAGCGCAUACGCACCGAGAACAGUCUAAACAAUGCCUAAAUAUAACCAUCGCGACUACUAAAUAGUGCCGCGAAUUAACUAUUAAUUUUCCUUGCGACCUUGUGUAAUGUUUGUGUCGGUGUAAUGUUUAUCGUUAAUUAAUUCUACGUCUCCACAUAAUAUUCUAGAUUGAGGUCCAAUUCAAGGCAGCAGUCACGUCAUAAAAGGAACAUAGGAACAAAAGGUAUCAGAACGUUCAACAAAAUCCCAAGUCCUAUCUAUAUGAUUAUAUCUAUAUUAAACUUUCAAGUACUCUCAACAUAUCAUUCUGUAAUCAGCAUGGUAAAACUUUUUCAGCGAACCGACAGACUUCCAGUCAACGCAGUCCAAAGCUGCUGUAAAUCUGUUCAUGCAUGUACAUAAUUCUGUAAUCUAAGCUUCUGCCUUCUUCCGGUAAAGUAAUCGGUAGAUACGUAUGCGAAAUUUCUUAAUCGAUCACAUAUUACAUGUAAGUAUGCCAAGAUUAUUGUCUGGUCCCCUUAAUUGCAACACUAGAACGUUGAAUUAAACCACUCAUUGAUGUACAGUAUUUUAGUAAACAGUAUUUUAGUUAUACAGUACAGUAUUUUAGUUAUACGCUAAGCGGAUACGACUCACUGAAAAAAGAGGUGCCAUGUUGACUCGACAACACAGUAAACAUAAACAAAACUCAUAAGGACUGCGCGGCCGCGGAGGAAGCGGUUUGGAUCUGCUGAAUAGUUCGAACUUCGAACCGAUGGUUUCUGUUGCUUCCUUAAAGUUCCUUGAAUAACCAGCGGCGUCGAUCAUUGAAAGGACGCCACAGAAAUAGUUUUCCCUAUCGUUUUUGAAAUGAUGAUGCGUAUGCCGUUACAAUCGAUCAAUGCCGUAACGUUACGGAAGUCACUGGUCGAUAUACAGUAGAGACACCAUGAUUAUACGGCAUAUUUUCCAAUUACAGUGCGUUUUGGAGACAGCCGGUACUGUAGUUAAAGGAAAUGCAGCAGACGUUCUCAGAUUACUGUAUACGCGCCCUAAGAUCCCGAAUGCCGAUUUUGGUUAUUUUCAUUGUUUGAAUCUGAAUCAUUUUAAUUGGUGUCCAGAAUAACAGGCAUAUACGGUAUGUAUUGUAUGUCACGC